CAGCACCACGGGAAUACGUAGGUGGCAAGCGCUGUCCGGAAUUAUUGGGCGUAAAGGGCUCGCAGGCGGUUUCUUAAGUCUGAUGUGAAAGCCCCCGGCUCAACCGGGGAGGGUCAUUGGAAACUGGGAAACUUGAGUGCAGAAGAGGAGAGUGGAAUUCCACGUGUAGCGGUGAAAUGCGUAGAGAUGUGGAGGAACACCAGUGGCGAAGGCGACUCUCUGGUCUGUAACUGACGCUGAGGAACGAAAGCGUGGGGAGCGAACAGGAUUAGAUACCCCUGUAGUCCCUGUCUCUUAUACA
rnacentral:rRNA from 1 species